GCCAACUUGAUAACAUACAAGGCUUCCAUCUCUUCCCGUUCUUCGCUCCGCUCACAGAAUUCUUCAUACACCAUCCUUCCUGUUCUUCUACCAAACAAGCGGGAAAAUUAGGUGGGAUUUUGAGAGAGAAUGCAGGAUUUCGAGAGACAAGAGAGGAGUCCUGAUUAUGACUCUUCCUAACCCAAAAGAGAUGGACGGAAAUAUAAAAGGCAAUCAGCUCUGUUCAUCACAACAUCAACUUCUACUCUCUCUAUUCAAUCUUCAUUUCGAAGGGUCUGUUGCAAAGUGCCUAAAUUAUAGGUGUUCUUCGUUCAAUUUUUCUGAUUUAAGGUGUUUAGGAUCAAACACAUCCACCAAAACGAAAACAUUGACAUGAACAUUGUAGUACCCAACAGUGAAGAAGAUGAUGUCUUUGGAAGAGAUGAAGACGGUGUCCAAAACAAUGGAGAUAAUUCAGAAACAAAGGAUUUGGAGGAAGACUUGUGAUUCAUAAAGCCAUUUUCAGUAAUUUUUGGUUUAGGAUUUAACUAAUCUUGGCAAACAAUUUUUUUUUAUUAGCUAUUAUUAUUUUGGGGCCGUGACCACUUACCAAAUUUCAACUUCAAAAUUGCCCACUUACUCCACUAAGAGUUUUUUUAA